rnacentral:rRNA from 1 species
ACACAUGCAAGUCGAGGGGCAGCGGGGAGUAGCAAUACUCCGCCGGCGACCGGCGCACGGGUGAGUAACACGUGUGCAACCAACCCCGUACCGGGAGAUAGCCCGCGGAAACGUGGACUAAUACCCCACGACAGCUUUUCCCCGCAUGGGGGAAGGCUUAAAACCCCGGUGGUACGGGACGGGCACGCGCGACAUUAGGUAGUUGGCGGGGUAACGGCCCACCAAGCCGACGAUGUCUAGGGGUUCUGAGAGGAAGGUCCCCCACACUGGAACUGAGACACGGUCCAGACUCCUACGGGAGGCAGCAGUGAGGAAUAUUGGUCAAUGGUCGAGAGACUGAACCAGCCAAGUCGCGUGAGGGAAGAAUGGUCUAUGGCCUGUAAACCUCUUUUGUCAAGGAAGAAUAAGUGUCACGCGUGGCAUGAUGCCAGUACUUGACGAAUAAGCAUCGGCUAACUCCGUGCCAGCAGCCGCGGUAACACGGGGGAUGCGAGCGUUAUCCGGAUUUAUUGGGUUUAAAGGGCGCGUAGGCGGGACGACAAGUCAGCGGUAAAAGACUGCAGCUAAACUGUAGCACGCCGUUGAAACUGUUGACCUUGAGACGAGACGAGGGAGGCGGAACAAGUGAAGUAGCGGUGAAAUGCAUAGAUAUCACUUGGAACCCCGAUAGCGAAGGCAGCUUCCCAGGCUCGAUCUGACGCUGAUGCGCGAGAGCGUGGGUAGCGAACAGGAUUAGAUACCCUGGUAGUCCACGCCGUAAACGAUGCUCACUGG